AAUAAAUCAAGUUGUCCAAACAUUUAAGCCGGGGAAGUUCAUAGUAACCAUAUUUGCAAAUAAGUCUUCGUUGGCGUACGAAACCAUGAAGGGAUUGGAAAUCGAAUACUCGACGCAGUCACAUUGGAAACAAACCGAUAUGCAGUGCUGGAGAAUACAUGACGAUACAUAUAACACCAGAAGAAAACUUUUCCUAUGUCAGCUAUGAAAGCAAUGUGGCACUAAAUAAUUAUCGGAUGUUAAUAAAUCAAGUUGU